rnacentral:lncRNA from 1 species
CAGCAUUUAGUAAAUCGAGCAGCCUCUUUCUCUCACUUGCACAAUAAUGGACAAGCACCUGCAUUAACAAUAAUAAAAGGAUGAGAUCAUCAACAUCCUAAAUUAGUUAGAUAUAUUGUAUGCUGAAAAUUAAAAAUAUGACUAUACAUACCUGAUUCUUGAAGUUGUCUUUCACAUGACGGAAACAAUAUGAGUGGUAACUACCAGAAAAGUACUUCGGCACUGAUUUAAUAAUUCCUUGAUGUCUAUCCGUCAUAAAU